AUGUGUGAGGCUGUGAGGAAAGCUGUGGUCAGCUGUGGCCUGUGCUGCUUCGCUGUCAGCUCUGCCUCUGCUGGGUGGCCAGCUGCAGUGGGCCGUGCUGGUCAGGGGCAGAGAAGCACGGGGCCAACACCAGGGUGGUGCCCAGAGCAGGGAGCAGAGGUCAGGAACCUGUGUUGGGGGUGGGCGGUGAAGUGGUCUCUACGGGGAGCUGGCAUGGAAUGGGCAGAUGGCGCAGGACCUGGAAGGCCUGUGUCCCUGCAGGGGAGUCCCAGGCACAGGACUCUGGGCUGCGGUGUGCCGGGGCGAGCCGCCUUUAAGGGCGCAAGUAGAAGGCUGUCACAGAGCAGAGAGCCGGGAGAGGGUGACGUGUGGAGGGCUGGCCCAGCACCGCUGCCAGAACAAGCCAGCGGAUAUUUGGCGCAAAGUCCCAAAGCAGCAUUUCUGUUUGGCUCUAUUCGUCUGCAGAGCAAACACUGGCAGAUUGGAAUUCCCACUUGGGUCCUCACCAAUUCAAACAGGCUUGGCCACGACUUUCAAUUGAUUUGCUUGGGGCAGAAGUGCUCUGCCUGCCCAGGCCUGGCAGUGGAAAGCAGGACCCUCCUCACCAACCCCCAGCCUUCAGAUCCAGCAGAGCUGUCCCCAGAUGGCUCGUUCAUCUGCAUUCUGCCAGCCUGGUGGUUUGGUAGCUGCCUUGGAAUGCUGGGGACCUGGGGCUUGAGUCUUUUGGUCACACUCAGGUCCUCCCCUAGCUCCUGUGGGAAGGAUCUAGAAUCCAAGGCUGGAGGUGUUUGGAAGGUGGCUGGAUUUUUUUUUUUUUUUAAACUGCUUGUUGAUUCCACAGCAGGAAGCAGUCCCUAUAUUUUGGAGAUCCGGGCAGUGAGUGAGAAUAUAAACUCUCUUCUAUUUAUUCCAACAGCCCUUAGAAAUCUUAUGGAGAUGCUAGAAACUGCACACCUUGUGUUUUCUUCAAAUGUGGAUGAGACAGGACCCCUCCUAAUUUAA
rnacentral:lncRNA from 1 species